UACGAAGGGGGCUAGCGUUGCUCGGAAUUACUGGGCGUAAAGCGCACGUAGGCGGAUUGUUAAGUCGGGGGUGAAAUCCUGGAGCUCAACUCCAGAACUGCCUUCGAAACUGGGCGAUCUUGAGUUCGGGAGAGGUGAGUGGAACUGCGAGUGUAGAGGUGAAAUUCGUAGAUAUUCGCAAGAACACCAGUGGCGAAGGCGGCUCACUGGCCCGAUACUGACGCUGAGGCGCGAAAGCGUGGGGAGCAAACAGG
rnacentral:rRNA from 1 species